rnacentral:rRNA from 1 species
UACGUAGGGCGCAAGCGUUAUCCGGAAUUACUGGGCGUAAAGAGCUCGUAGGUGGUUUGUCGCGUUGUUCGUGAAAACUCACAGCUCAACUGUGGGCGUGCGGGCGAUACGGGCAGACUAGAGUACUGCAGGGGAGACUGGAAUUCCUGGUGUAGCGGUGGAAUGCGCAGAUAUCAGGAGGAACACCGGUGGCGAAGGCAGCCAUCUGGACCGACACUGACGCUGAGGCGCGAAAGCGUGGGGAGCAAACAGG